UCGUGGAGUGAUCUGUCUGCUUAAUUGCGUAUCACACAGGGCGUUUAACAUGUACGUGUCGUUCGUUGGUGACGCCUUUCUUCGGAGAGCUGCCUGUCCCCUACGGCCGUACAUAGACUGUCCCUGCAUGCAACGAACGUGACCGCAACCUCUUGUUGCUUCUCUUACAAGGUGUGUUGAUCGAAUUCGUUCUUUCAUCAUACUAGCAGAAUGCAAA
rnacentral:rRNA from 1 species